rnacentral:lncRNA from 10 species
UGACCUUCAGUAAAUACACAGGCCAGCCCUGCAGGUAACUCUGUCCCUGGUCUUGCCAGACGUUCAGGAAAGCAUCUCCUGUGUCCAUUGAAGGGAGGACACGUUGCUGCGUUUGGAACUUGACCACCUGGGAAAGUCACAUCACACUGCUGGGGAGCCUCUGCGGCGGAGGCAGCAACUGGGGCCACCCUGGGGGCUGUGGCCCUUCAGCGCCAGGGCCAUGGUCACAGCGGACAGCCUGGAACCCCAGCCACCAGCCUCCAUUCCCGGGGCCUCUCGGAGAUGAGUCGGAAAGCACAGGCUCCGUGGACGCAGAGGCCACUCCUCAUGCCCUACACCGUCCUCCUUUCCUGUGCCAGUGACAGCGCCACCCCCUGACCCGCCAACUCUCAGG